CAAAGGAAUUGACGGGACCGCACAAGCGGUGGAUGAUGUGGAUUAAUUCGAUGCAACGCGAAAACCUUACCUACCCUUGACAUGUCCGGAAUCCUGCAGAGAUGCGGGAGUGCCCGAAAGGAAUCGGAACACAGGUGCUGCAUGGCUGUCGUCAGCUCGUGUCGUGAGAUGUUGGGUUAAGUCCCGCAACGAGCGCAACCCUUAUCAUUAGUUGCUACGCAAGGGCACUCUAAUGAGACUGCCGGUGACAAACCGGAGGAAGGUGGGGAUGACGUCAAGUCCUCAUGGCCCUUAUGGGUAGGGCUUCACACGUCAUACAAUGGUCGGUACAGAGGGUUGCCAACCCGCGAGGGGGAGCUAAUCCCACAAAGCCGAUCGUAGUCCGGAUCGCAGUCUGCAACUCGACUGCGUGAAGUCGGAAUCGCUAGUAAUCGUGGAUCAGCAUGUCACGGUGAAUACGUUCCCGGGUCUU
rnacentral:rRNA from 1 species